UACGUAGGGGUCGAGCGUUGUCCGGAGUUACUGGGCGUAAAGCGUGUGCAGGCGGCUCAUUGCGCCCGGCGUGAAAGCCCCCGGCUCAACCGGGGAGAGUCGUCGGGGACGGGUGAGCUUGAGGGUAUCAGGGGCUGGUGGAAUUCCCGGUGUAGUGGUGAAAUGCGUAGAUAUCUGGAGGAAUACCGGUGGCGAAGGCGGCAUCCUGGACCGACAUUGACGCUGAGGAGCGAAAGCUAGGGGAGCAAACGGG
rnacentral:rRNA from 1 species